rnacentral:rRNA from 1 species
AUUGAACGCUGGCGGCAGGCCUAACACAUGCAAGUCGAACGAGUGGCGGACGGGUGAGUAAUUUCCGGGACACUGCCCAACGGAUGGGGAUAACAAAUCGAUACGGUAGCUAAUACCGCCUACCUUCGGUCGUGCCUAGAUGGGUUUAGCUUGUGGGGGAGGUAACGGCCCACCCAGGCGACGAUCCCUAGCUGAUCUGAGAGGAUGACCAGCCACACUAGAAGUGAGACACGGUCCAGACUCCUACGGGAGGCGGCGGUGGAGAAUAUUGCACAAUGGGCGCAAGCCUGCUGCAGCCAUGCCGCGUGUAUGAAGAGAGCCUUCGGGUUGUAAAGUACUUUCAGCGGGGAAGCGUUACCCGAAGAAGAAGCACCGGCUAACUCCGUGCCAGCAGCCGCGGUAAUAC